AGAUGUCUGAUUAUCCAGUUUUAUUUUCUGGUUAUACAAACCCACUUCGCAUUUUCAUGUUCAGUUUUCAGGUUUUCUUCUCUGGUUGCGUAGUAGCUGACUACUAUUUAAACUAUAUACAUAUACAAUCUACCUAGUUCACCUGCAGGUUGCACAGGUUUGUGCUAUAAAUAUACAAAUUUAUAUUCAGGUUAUGUGCCGGGCC
rnacentral:lncRNA from 1 species